UUUCACCAGGGAAGAGUGGGCUCUGCUGAACCCCGCUCAGAGAGCCCUCUACAGAGCCAUCAUGCAGGAGAACUAUGAGAAUGUGACCUCGCUGGGCUCCUUGGAUUUUUGAGUCCCUUGUUCCCGAACUCACAAGACCCCAAUUCUUCUUUUUCACAUUCUGCUUUUCCAGACUAAUUAGUCUGUUGCUUCUGAAUGAUAGCUUCUAAUUUCCCAGUGUUCUCCACACCCAGGGAUUUUCCUACUCCCUCCCAUUACACUGGACUCACUCAAUUCCCUAGUAAAAAUAAAAAACAGCCAUACUGGGUCUGUCCAGAGGUCCACCCAGCCCUGUAUACUGUCUUCAGACAGUGGCCAGUACCAGGUGCUCCAGAGGGAAUGAACACAACAGGUAAUCCUCAAAUGUUCCAUCACCUGACAUGUUUUGCCAGCUUCUAGCAAGCAGAGGCUACAGACAUCUUCCCUGGCUAAUGGCCAUUGAUGGACCUAUCCUCCAUGAAUUUAUCAUGUUCUUUUUUUGUACUCUGUUAUAGUCUUGGCCUUCACAACCUCCUCUGGCAAAGAGUCCACAGGUUGACUGUGCAUUGUGUGAAGAAACACUUCCUUUUUUUUGUUUUAUAUCUGUUGCCUAUACUUUUUUUUUUUUUUGGUGAUUCCUAGUCCUUGUGUUAUGAGAAGUAGUAAAUAACACUUCCUUAUUUACUUUCUCCAUGCCAGUCAUGAUUAUAUAGACCUCUCUCCUCUCCCCCCUUCCUCUCUUCCCAGCUGAAAAGUCCCAGUCUUUUUAAUCUCUCCUCAUACAGAAGCUCUUCCAUACCCCUACUCAUUUUUUUGCCCUUUUCUAAACCUUUUUCAGUUCCAUUAUAUCUUCUUUGAGAUGGGGUGACCACAUCUGCAGGCAGUAUUUGAGAUAUGGAUGCACCAUGGAUUUAUAUAGAGGCAAUUUGACAUUUUCUGUCUUAUUAUCUAUCCCUUUCCUAAUGAUUCCCAACAUUCUGUUCGCUUUUUGACUGCCACUGCACAUUGAGUGGAUGUUUUCUAAGAACUAUCCACAGUGAGUCCAAGAUCCCUCUCUUGAGUAGGACCAGCUAAUUUAGAUGCCAUCAUUUUAUAUAUAUAGUUGGGAUUAUGUUUUCCAGUGGGCUGCACUAUGUGCUAUCCUGACAUCUAGUUCCGCUGAGAUCCUGCAUUCAGUAAUAUCUCUGCCCUUCCUGUUCCCUUUCUCCACUGAACCCCACCCGCCCAUGCUUCCCCGGGACUCUCUCUCUUUGUCUCUGGACCUGUCUGUCAGCACGAAGCAGUGCCACGGACACUUGCCCUCUCUCUGGAGACUUCGAUUUCUCGGACAUGGAUUUAGUUUCUCCAUGUUUUAGGAACGGCUUUGAAACUGAGUGUCUGUUACAUUAACCACAGUGCAAUCUGGAGUGUUGAACAGCUGUUUCCCCUCAGUUCCCCAAGCUGGGGUGCCUUUUACAUUGCUUUACUGUGAGAAAAGCCACUGUGUGGCAGUUAACACACAGUCUCCAGCAUGUAACUCACUCCCAACCACACAGCACUGAGUGCUGCUAAUCAGCGACUCACGAAUUGCAGUACCCCACCGGAGAACCCCAGAAAAUUCUCCGGUCCCAGACUUCCCCCAGAAAUGUGCAUCUUGCCCUGUCCAGCACACUACUGAACAACGCAAGCUCAUAUGAAAUCUGUCGUUUCGUCAGUGGAAAAUGACAUGCACCAGCCUUGUUAUCCCAAAUGGAGUUUCCAAUACACUUUUAUUGUUCUAUCUAACCAGCGUGUUUGGGUUAAGCAAGAUUGUUAAAAUCUAUUUUUUUUUUUUGGUAGUUAAGUGCCUAUGGGUAAUGAGGCAUUAAAGUCAGAAUUGUUUACAAAAGAAAUGCAAGAUAAAACACAAACUAAUGUCUAACUUGAGAAGCUAAAACGGAUUCAAAAGCUCACCAUAUGCUAGGAAAGGCUGGCUGUCCUUUCAGCCAAGACUCCCCCUAACCCGCUCUGCUGCCCAAAUUCAGCUCAUUGAGUUUUCAUAAGCAGAGGGAAAGCGGGGAGAGAGAGAGCGUGUCAAGCAUUUUCCUCACCUCUUUUUAUAACUCGUCCUUUAUACUAGAAACAACUUCAGUUCUCAGCUGAGUGAUGGUGACGGGCUGUCUGUUGUAGAUAUCAGCUUCCAGUGAAGGAAUGUAAAUGUCUUCUUCACACCUUCCCCCUCCAGAGAAUGGCUUUUUGACCAGCUGUUUGCCUUGCUGUCUCUGAGGAACUGAUUUGCAAGUGUUCCCCGGAAUUGUAAUUUUUUCAGUAAUAUAAUACAGUAAAAUCUCAUAACUUUACAUACAGUGUUGCUGCACAUAUUUUAACAGGAGGAUAAUAUUCAGUAGAUUGUGUUUUCAAAUGAUACUUCACAAGCUGUACUAUGUACAAAAUUGGUCAUAAUUUUCUUGAAGAGUCAACAUAGAGGUACAGACUGGCACACUGUCUGUGUGUUCCCAGCAGAUAUGUGGGUAUUUCAGUCCCUCAUAAGCAGAGUAUUUGGCAUCUUCAAGGCCCUGGGGAGCUGGUCCUGGGAUUUCACUGGUUUACGAAGUGUGACACUGUAUGGAAUUGAGGCACUUUAUAUUAUUAUUUUAUUAUUAAUACCAAUGUGAUAAAAUUGCAAUGAAUCAUUCUAGAUAUGCCAUGUAAAAUGUAAUGAUUUUCCAAGUAUGAUAAUUUUGUUUCUGUUUGUAUCACUUUGUGUUGUGAGUUAUAGAUAUUUAGAGUAUAUCUAUAUUUCCAGACUUGUGCAGCGUUUCUGAGUGACACCCUCAGACAUAUUGGCAUCAGCACUGCCUAGCCUGUUUGAUGGCCCAUUCAGGAUCAUCAGCUGUACAAUGAACCCAUGGAAAGGAUCAAGGGCCGAGGUGGGCAAACCUUUUGGCCCAAGGGCCACAUCAGGGUUGCAAAACUGUAUGGAGGACCAAAUAGGGAAGGCUCCCUAAAGAGCUUGGCCCCGCCCCCUCCAAAUUCCUGCCCCGACUGCUGCCCUCAGAAUCUCUGACCCAUCCAGCCCCCCCGCUCCUUGUCCCCUGACCUCCCCCUCCUGAGACCAACCACCUUAACUGCUCUCCCAGGACCCCACCCCCUACCCAACCCCUAUGCUCCCUGUCCCCUGAAUGCCCUGACCCCUAUUCACCCACUCAGCCCCUGACAGACCCCCGGGACUCCCAUGCCUAUCCAACCCCCACAUUCUCUGUACCCUGACACCUCCCCCCACCCCCGACUUUCAAGCUAGCAACUCGCCAAUACUGCUAAGAACCCAAUAUAUAGAUUUUUGGAAUGUAUAUGACUGCUUUCCCAUUUAACAACUCCCUUUUUCUUUCUAUCUUUCCUUUAUAAUAAACCUUGAGUUUUGAUGCUAAAGGUGUAACGAUGCUGGUUCUGGUGGGACCCAGCUGAGAGUGCCAAUUCAAGACAAAUUGCUUCAAGGGGGGCGGUUACAGCCCAAGGCUGGGGUUUUUCCACCUCUAAGGCAAACCAAACCAGCCAGCCAGAGAGGAUUUCAGUUUUACCACACUGGCUAACCACAAGUCACACAAGCAAUUCCCUUAGACACUCCAGUUUCCCAGUAUCACCACCAGUGCCACUUGCUAUAGGAACAAAUGGUUAUGAAAACUAAUACCCCAGUCAAAGAAAAAGGUUCUCCCGAUCCCAAAGGACCAAGCCCCAGACAAAAGUCAAUAUACAUAUCAGAUCUUACCCACAAAUUGUGCUGUUGCUGAUCCUUUAGAAUCUGAAACCUAAAGGUUUAUUCAUAAAAGGAAAAAGAGCUAGAAUUGUUUAAAUGGAAUCAAUUCCAUACACUACUGGCAAAGUUUUGGUUCAUCAAGCAGGCUAGGCAGAGCUGAUACCAACUUGUCUGGGAUGUCACCAGAAGCAUAGCAUAAGUUUGCAAUACAGACAGUAUAGAGACAAUAUUUGUAACUUCAACUACAAAAACAAUACACACAUACAGACAGCGUAAUCAUAACCAGCAAACCAGAACCUUGUCCUGGACACCUCAAACGCCAGCCUUUGUACAAUUCUUGCUUCAAAUGUGUAACAGUGGUUGCAGCAGUGAUUUACACAGUUACCGGUUCUGUCAACAACGUCACAAAAGGAUUGGCUGGCAGCAAGGUAUUUUGGGUAAGAUCCAAACCUAGAGUGACCCAGUAAUGUGGCUGACCAUUUGGGGUCAGAAGAACACUUUGUGUGUGAGCAGAGUUUUUAAAUAACCUCUCACUGUGUUGUACCGAGGUGCUGAUUGGGAGUUAGAACUGGGAUGAGAAGAAUGAGGGGGGAUUUGAUAUCUGCUUUCAGCUACCUGAAAGGGAGUUCCAAAGAGGAUGGAUCUAGACUGUUCUCAGUGAUACCUGAUGAUAGAACAAGGAGUAAUGACCUCAAGUUGCAGUGGGGGAGGUUUAGGUUGGAUAUUAGAAAAACUUUUUCACUCAGAGAGUGGUGAAGCACUGGAAUGGGUUACACUGCUCUACAGCCAAAAUGCUUCUGAAAUACAUGUAGUCCAACUUUACUAAUUCUGGGUCACAGAGAACAAAAAUGGUGCUUAAAAUUGUUGAUUGGCUCUAGUUUUCAAUAUAUGCUAUUAGGUCAGUAUAUACGACCCUUGACUUGGGAAUGGUGGAGGAUAAGUGAGUUAUAAAGGGAAGGGAUCUCAAUUUAAACCAGAAAUGACUAAAAUACAUUUUUGACUGUAUCUAUGAAUAAAUCUAUGACUGGGUUUGGACAGUACUUCCUUUUUAGGCAAAACAAUGAAUGAUGCAAUCUGAAGCUGGUAUUGCGUCAUACAUUAUAUGAAUUGCAUCAUGUUAUUCCUAGAAGUCAUGGAUGAUGCAAUCAUAACGAAGCUUACAUCACUCUGCUGAACAAAUUGCCCUAUAUCAGCUCUAGAAAUCAUACAGUGUCGUGCUCUCUUAUUUGUCUGUGUUUGAUUUUGCAAAGGGACACAUUUCUGUUUAGCCAAAGUGAGCAGAGAUGCCUCGUACUUGUGUGAACAGUGCAGAUAACUUCUGCUAUGUUUGUGGUGAAGUGACUUUUGCAUCACAAAAGCGCAGUAUAACCACUAUGGCUAAGAAAGCCUAUCACCUUGAUUUUGGCUGCAAAAUUGGGGAUCAGGACAAGAGGUGGGCCCCACACAUAUGCUGCAGCACUUCUGCAACAAAUCUUCACCAGUAGUUGAACAGAAAAAGGAAAUCUAUGCCUUUUGCAGUGCCAAUGAUUUGGAGAGAGCCAAGAGAUCAUACCAGCAAUUGUUACUUCUGCAUGGUGCCUCCAGUUGGGAAAGGUGUGUCAAAGAAGAAAAAGUGGACUGUGCAUUAUCCAACCAUUCCAUCAGCUAUACGCCCAGUACCCCACAGAGAAGGACCGCCAGUUCCUGAUGCACCAGAAUCAUUCUCACUUGAGUCAGAAGAGGAAGAGGAAGAGGAUGAAACUUCUGGUCCUGAACCAUCAGUGUCACAGGACCCACAUUUUCUCCCAUCCUCCUCCUCUGAACCACACCUCAUAACACAAGGUGAACUGAAUGACCUUGUCAGGGAUUUGGAACUACCCAAGAGUAAGGCAGAGCUGUUGGGCUCCAGACUACAGUAGUGGAAUCUCCUGGCAGGCUAUCAGGGCAAAUGGAUCCCAUCAAUGCUUGCAGACUAUUGCUGGACAGUGACAAGAGAUGCUCCAUUUAAUGAAUACAAGAGACAAGCCAAGAAGUGCCGAGUAGACACUGAAUAGGACUAAACUAUGUACAUAAUAGUUUUUUGGCUUUUGAUUCAUAAUAAAUUUUAUUUAUAUAA